rnacentral:rRNA from 1 species
UACGGAGGGGACUAGCGUUGUUCGGAAUUACUGGGCGUAAAGCGCACGUAGGCGGAUUUGUAAGUCAGGGGUGAAAUCCCGGGGCUCAACCUCGGAACUGCCUUUGAUACUGCAAAUCUCGAGUCCGGAAGAGGUGAGUGGAAUUCCUAGUGUAGAGGUGAAAUUCGUAGAUAUUGGGAAGAACACCGGUGGCGAAGGCGGCUCUCUGGACCGAGACUGACGCUGAGGCGCGAAAGCGUGGGGAGCAAACAGG